CGGCCGCCCGGGGCGUGGACGCUGGCGCGAGGCCCCCCCUCCGGAACCCUCGGAGCGCCAGGCAGCUGUGCAGGGGGACGCUUCAGUCCCCCGCCUUCAUUCAGACGACGGCGACGGAGUGCCAGAUACUGCACUAGCCCCCUGGACACAAUUCUAAACGACUGGACAAGUAUCGUUCUUUCACUCCAAAAGAGGAGAAAGACAUUAAACAAUCCAUCAUCCAAACAGAUAAUCAUUGAACUCUGAGAGUCAUGACAGUUGAGUGACUGGAGGCGGUCCUGUCCUGCGAGAGGCUCACACAGCCUUCCAGCCAUGACUUCUUCCCUAAGGAGUUGCCUUCUGGCUGAUCUGCUUGGGGGCACCUGGGCAUCCUACCAAUGAGAUCAAAGUUCCUGCUGCCCCGAGAAGUUAGUUUUGCUGAUGCUUCCUCUGAUCCCUCAACCAGCCUGGAUUCCACCCAGAUCUCUAAGAGGUGCCACCUCCUUUCAAGUUCCUUUGUUGUUUCCCAGAAGCCGUGCCCUUUCAUUACUCUUCCCAAAUAUUUCCUGCCUACCUCUCCACUUCCACACGGGCUCCACUGCUGGUGCUACUGAUUUCAGGCACUGAAAUGGGGAAAUGCAAAGUGUCAACUCCUGAUGGACUAUGAAAUCUAAUCUUUCCAUGGGAGGCCUUCUAGACUUGUUAAAGAAUACAUAGAAUUCUGGCUAGGAAAAAAGCUGGCCACUAGAGACUCAACACAACUCAAGUCCUAGCCACCUCCAAGCGGCCGGGCUCUCCACCCUGACUCCUGGAAUUCCUGCCCAAAGCCAAAGGUGCCUUGGUUGCAGAGCCCUUAAUAUGGUCCCUUGGUGUCUUUGGGCAGUGAGAGUUAGAAUGAGGAAAAACAGCUGAGUAGUAAGUGGAGUAGAGCUGAAGUCUUCAUCUACCACUUACUGCAUGAGU